rnacentral:rRNA from 1 species
GACGAACGCUGGCGGCGUGCUUAACACAUGCAAGUCGAACGGUAAGGCCCUUCGGGGUACACGAGUGGCGAACGGGUGAGUAACACGUGGGUGAUCUGCCCUGCACUUCGGGAUAAGCCUGGGAAACUGGGCCUAAUACCGGAUAGGACCACUGCCUGCAUGGGUGGUGGUGGAAAGCUUUUGCGGUGUGGGAUGGUCCCGCGGCCUAUCAGAUUGUUGGUGGGGUGAUGGCCUACCAAGGCGACGACGGGUAGCCGGCCUGAGAGGGUGACCGGCCACACUGGGACUGAGAUACUGCCCAGACUCCUACGUGAGGCAGCAGUGGGGAAUAUUGCACAAUGGGCGCAAGCCUGAUGCAGCGACGCCGCGUGAGGGAUGACGGCCUUCGGGUUGUAAACCUCUUUCAGCACCGACGAAGCGCAAGUGACGAUAGGUGCAGAAGAAGGACCGGCCAACUACGUGCCAGCAGCCGCAGUAA